CUCAGGACGAACGCUGGCGGCGUGCUUAACACAUGCAAGUCGAACGGUGAAGCCCAGCUUGCUGGGUGGAUCAGUGGCGAACGGGUGAGUAACACGUGAGAAACCUGCCCCUGACUUCGGGAUAAGCCUUGGAAACGGGGUCUAAUACCGGAUAUGACGCACCCUCGCAUGGGGAGUGUGUGGAAAGAUUUAUCGGUUGGGGAUGGUCUCGCGGCCUAUCAGCUUGUUGGUGGGGUAAUGGCCCACCAAGGCGACGACGGGUAGCCGGCCUGAGAGGGCGACCGGCCACACUGGGACUGAGACACGGCCCAGACUCCUACGGGAGGCAGCAGUGGGGAAUAUUGCACAAUGGGCGCAAGCCUGAUGCAGCGACGCCGCGUGAGGGAUGAAGGCCUUCGGGUUGUAAACCUCUUUCAGCAGGGAAGAAGCGAAAGUGACGGUACCUGCAGAAGAAGCGCCGGCUAACUACGUGCCAGCAGCCGCGGUAAUACGUAGGGCGCAAGCGUUGUCCGGAAUUAUUGGGCGUAAAGAGCUCGUAGGCGGUUUGUCGCGUCUGGUGUGAAAACUCAAGGCUCAACCUUGAGCUUGCAUCGGGUACGGGCAGACUAGAGUGCGGUAGGGGUGACUGGAAUUCCUGGUGUAGCGGUGGAAUGCGCAGAUAUCAGGAGGAACACCGAUGGCGAAGGCAGGUCACUGGGCCGCAACUGACGCUGAGGAGCGAAAGCAUGGGGAGCGAACAGGAUUAGAUACCCUGGUAGUCCAUGCCGUAAACGUUGGGCACUAGGUGUGGGGCUCAUUCCACGAGUUCCGUGCCGCAGCAAACGCAUUA
rnacentral:rRNA from 2 species